CACCGUGAGGUGGAAUCUGAAGGAAGCCAGAGGCAAAAUCCCGAACUGACGAACAGAAACCAUAUCAGGCUGAUUUAGAGCGGAUGAGUUUGCUAUACAAAACAAAGUCCAAUACUACCCAAACUCUAAACAGUAAAUAUGGCAGCUACAUGGGAGGAAGGUUGU
rnacentral:ncRNA from 1 species